UGUUGGCCAGGCUGAUCUUAAACUCCUGACCUCAGGCGAUCUGCCCACCUGGCUCUCCCAAACUGCUGGGAUUACAGGCGUGAGCCACUGUGCCCGGCCUCCACCAUUCUUACAGGGGACAAAAUUUAUACUUGUGAAAUUUCAUGUUACUGGAUAUAAUCUGCUGCUUCAGACUGCAUCACAACUUGAGCCAACAAACCUGGGCACCAUGAUAUGUGAUGAAUAAUUCACCAGACCUGUCCCAAGGCACAAGGCUACCUGAAACAGCAGUGUGUGCCAGCAAGAUAGCAGAAGCAGGAAGAGCGCCGGCUGGAAGACAUGUACCCUGGCGGGAAGACAUUUACCCCUGAAGAUCGAGAAAGAGGCCAUCCAGGUACUACGUAGCAGUCACAUCAAACUGGGACACUUCCUGUUUACUGGAGACCAUAAAACCCCUGCCCCAUCCUCAUUUUGGUGCUGACACCAUUUUAGGCCUCAGUCCACCUGCACCCAGGCGCUCAUUAAAACAGUAUGUUGCUCCACACCA